rnacentral:rRNA from 1 species
GGACGAACGCUGGCGGCGUGCUUAACACAUGCAAGUUGAACGGGCAUACAUGGAAGCUUGCUGAAGUGUAUGUUAGUAGCGGACGGGUGAGUAAUGCAUGAGAAGCUGCCAUUGGGAGGGGGACAACAGUUGGAAACGGCUGCUAAUACCCCGUAUGCCGAAAGGUAAAAGGGAGCAAUCCGCCUGAUGAGGUGCUCAUGUCCUAUCAGCUGGUUGGUGGGGUAACGGCCUACCAAGGCGACGACGGGUAGCCGGCCUGAGAGGGUGAACGGCCACACUGGAACUGAGAUACGGUCCAGACUCCUACGGGAGGCAGCAGUGGGGAAUAUUGGGCAAUGGGGGAAACCCUGACCCAGCGACGCCGCGUGAGGGAAGACGGCCUUCGGGUUGUAAACCUCUUUUGUACGGGAAGAAGGAAGUGACGGUACUGUACGAAUAAGUCCCGGCUAACUACGUGCCAGCAGCCGCGGUAAUACGUAGGGGACGAGCGUUGUCCGGAAUUACUGGGCGUAAAGGGCGCGCAGGCUGUGCUGCAAGUCAGCUGUGAAAUGUCUGGGCUUAACCCGGGCAUGCGGUUGAGACUGCAGUGCUGGAGUGCUGUAGAGGCAAGUGGAAUUCCCAGUGUAGCGGUGAAAUGCGUAGAUAUUGGGAAGAACACCGGUGGCGAAGGCGACUUGCUGGGCAGCAACUGACGCUGAGGCGCGAAAGCCAGGGGAGCAAACGGGAUUAGAUACCCCGGUAGUCCUGGCCGUAAACGAUGAAUGCUAGGUGUGGGUGUAGAGAUACAUUCGUGCCGGAGUUAACGCGAUAAGCAUUCCGCCUGGGGAGUACGGUCGCAAGAUUGAAACCCAAAGGAAUUGACGGGGGCCCGCACAAGCGGUGGAGCACGUGGUUUAAUUCGAUGCAAACCGAAGAACCUUACCAGGGUUUGACAUCAUACUGCCCUCUGUAGAAAUACAGACUUCCGCUUCGGCGGACAGUAUGACAGGUGUUGCAUGGUUGUCGUCAGCUCGUGUCGUGAGAUGUUGGGUUAAGUCCCGCAACGAGCGCAACCCCUAUCCAAUGUUGCCAACAGGUAAAGCUGGGGACUCAUUGGAGACUGCCGGAGACGAUCUGGAGGAAGGUGGGGAUGAGGUCAAAUCAUCAUGGCCCUUAAGCCCUGGGCUACACACGCGCUACAAUGGUCGGUACAACGGGCAGCGAAGGAGCGAUCUGGAGCGAAUCCCAAAAAGCCGGCCCCAGUUGGAAUCGCAGGCCGAAACUCGCCUGCGUGAACACGGAAUUGCUAGUAAUCGCGAAUCAGCUACGUCGCGGUGAAUACGUUCCCGGGCCU